GAUGAACGCUGGCGGCGUGCCUAAUACAUGCAAGUCGAGCGAACGGACGAGAAGCUUGCUUCUCUGAUGUUAGCGGCGGACGGGUGAGUAACACGUGGAUAACCUACCUAUAAGACUGGGAUAACUUCGGGAAACCGUAGCUAAUACCGGAUAAUAUUUUGAACCGCAUGGUUCAAAAGUGAAAGACGGUCUUGCUGUCACUUAUAGAUGGAUCCGCGCUGCAUUAGCUAGUUGGUAAGGUAACGGCUUACAAAGGCAACGAUGCAUGGCCGACCUGAGAGGGUGAUCGGCACCACUGGAACUGAGACACGGUCCAGACUCCUAGGGGAGGCAGCAGUAGGGAAUCUUCCGCAAUGGGCGAAAGCCUGACGGAGCAACGCCGCGUGAGUGAUGAAGGUCUUCGGAUCGUAAAACUCUGUUAUUAGGGAAGAACAUAUGUGUAAGUAACUGUGCACAUCUUGACGGUACCUAAUCAGAAAGCCACGGCUAACUACGUG
rnacentral:rRNA from 1 species